CGGCUAAUAACCGGACGUAAUAUAUUGUAACCGCAUGGUUCAAUAGUGAAAGACGGUUUUGCUGUCACUUAUAGAUGGAUCCGCGCCGCAUUAGCUAGUUGGUAAGGUAACGGCUUACCAAGGCAACGAUGCGUAGCCGACCUGAGAGGGUGAUCGGCCACACUGGAACUGAGACACGGUCCAGACUCCUACGGGAGGCAGCAGAC
rnacentral:rRNA from 1 species